UGCAACUUAGUUGAAAAUUCUAGCAGCUGG
rnacentral:piRNA from 1 species